GACGAACGCUGGCGGCGUGCUUAACACAUGCAAGUCGAACGCUGAAGCUUGGUGCUUGCCCUGGGUGGAUGAGUGGCGAACGGGUGAGUAAUACGUGAGUAACCUGCCCUUGACUCUGGGAUAAGCCUGGGAAACUGGGUCUAAUACUGGAUACGACAUGCCACUGCAUGGUGGUGUGUGGAAAGGGUUUUACUGGUUUUGGAUGGGCUCACGGCCUAUCAGCUUGUUGGUGGGGUAAUGGCCUACCAAGGCGACGACGGGUAGCCGGCCUGAGAGGGUGACCGGCCACACUGGGACUGAGACACGGCCCAGACUCCUACGGGAGGCAGCAGUGGGGAAUAUUGCACAAUGGGCGGAAGCCUGAUGCAGCGACGCCGCGUGAGGGAUGACGGCCUUCGGGUUGUAAACCUCUUUCAGCACGGAAGAAGCGAGAGUGACGGUACGUGCAGAAGAAGCGCCGGCUAACUACGU
rnacentral:rRNA from 1 species